UUGGGGGUCAGCAGUUUGUAUCAUUGUCAAGGGAACACCUGGAAAAAGGGGAAUGAAGACCACAUCUCCCUCCCUUUUGAGGUUCAAUGUCAUUAGAGUAUCUUAGAGCUCAGGACUGAGAUCUUUGGGCAGAGAUGAUCCUCCAAGGGGAAACUGGCUCUGAGAGUGGAGAGGGUCGGGGCAGACACUUAUCCUGGGAAAGGGCUGGUUCUGGAACUUCCUCCAGCCCCACCUUGUGCGAGGGCUUCAAAUCAAUGAUUAAAUGUGUAGAUGUGAAGUUGAGAUGAGAUUGGGAAGCCCAGCUGGGCUCUUUGACUUGAAUGACCAUGUAAAUCUGAGAGCAAUUGGCAAGGGAGCAAGAGAUCUACUGUCCUUCCUGCCCCUUCCCAUGCACCCCCAUCCCUCUGU
rnacentral:lncRNA from 10 species